GGAGAGAUUGCUUAGUUGGUAAAGGGCUUGCCUUGUAAGCAGGAAGAUCUGAGUUCUUUCCC
rnacentral:tRNA from 1 species